rnacentral:rRNA from 1 species
AUUGAACGCUGGCGGCAUGCCUUACACAUGCAAGUCGAACGGUAACGGGCCUUCGGGUGCCGACGAGUGGCGAACGGGUGAGUAAUACAUCGGAACGUGCCCGAUCGUGGGGGAUAACGAGGCGAAAGCUUUGCUAAUACAGCAUACGAUCUACGGAUGAAAGCAGGGGACCGCAAGGCCUUGCGCGGACGGAGCGGCCGAUGGCCGAUUAGGUAGUUGGUGGGAUAAAAGCUUACCAAGCCGACGAUCUGUAGCUGGACUGGGAGGAUGAUCAGCCACACUGGGACUGAGACACGGCCCAGACUCCUGCGGGAGGCAGCAGUGGGGAAUUUUGGACAAUGGGCGCAAGCCUGAUCCAGCCAUGCCGCGUGCAGGAUGAAGGCCUUCGGGUUGUAAACUGCUUUUGUACGGAACGAAAAGCCUUCUUUUAAUACAGGAGGGUCAUGACGGUACCGUAAGAAUAAGCACCGGCUAACUACGUG